rnacentral:ncRNA from 2 species
UUUUUGGAGAGUUUGAUCCUGGCUCAGGACGAACGCUGGCGGCGUGCCUAAUACAUGCAAGUCGAGCGAACUGAUGAAGAGCUUGC